rnacentral:rRNA from 1 species
UUGAGYUUGAUCAUGGCUCAGAUUGAACGCUGGCGGCAGGCCUAACACAUGCAAGUCGAGCGGUAACAGGAAGRAAGCUUGCUUUCUUUGCUGACGAGCGGCGGACGGGUGAGUAAUGCCUGGGAAAUUGCCCUGAUGUGGGGGAUAACCAUUGGAAACGAUGGCUAAUACCGCAUGAUGCCUUCGGCUCAAAGAGGGGGACCUUCGGGCCUCUCGCGUCAGGAUAUGCCCAGGUGGGAUUAGCUAGUUGGUGAGGUAAUGGCUCACCAAGGCGACGAUCCCUAGCUGGUCUGAGAGGAUGAUCAGCCACACUGGAACUGAGACACGGUCCAGACUCCUACGGGAGGCAGCAGUGGGGAAUAUUGCACAAUGGGCGCAAGCCUGAUGCAGCCAUGCCGCGUGUAUGAAGAAGGCCUUCGGGUUGUAAAGUACUUUCAUGUGGUGAGGA